rnacentral:rRNA from 1 species
AGUGAACGCUGGCGGUAGGCCUAACACAUGCAAGUCGAACGGCAGCACAGUAAGAUCUUGCUCUUACGGGUGGCGAGUGGCGGACGGGUGAGGAAUACAUCGGAAUCUACUUUUUCGGGGGGGAUAACGUAGGGAAACUUACGCUAAUACCGCAUACGACCUACGGGUGAAAGCAGGGGAUCUUCGGACCUUGCGCGAUUGAAUGAGCCGAUGUCGGAUUAGCUAGUUGGCGGGGUAAAGGCCCACCAAGGCGACGAUCCGUAGCUGGUCUGAGAGGAUGAUCAGCCACACUGGAACUGAGACACGGUCCAGACUCCUACGGGAGGCAGCAGUGGGGAAUAUUGGACAAUGGGCGAAAGCCUGAUCCAGCAAUACCGCGUGGGUGAAGAAGGCCUUCGGGUUGUAAAGCCCUUUUGUUGGGAAAGAACAGCAGCAGGUUAAUACCCCGCUGUUCUGACGGUACCCAAAGAAUAAGCACCGGCUAACUUCGUG